UCUCCGUUGGUGAACCAGCGGAGGGCUCAUUACCGAGUUUACAACUCCCAAACCCCUGUGAACAUACCAUUUGUUGCCUCGGCGGUGCCUGCUUCGGCAGCCCGCCAGAGGACCCAAACCCUUGAUUUUAUACAGUAUCUUCUGAGUAAAUGAUUAAAUAAAUCAAAACUUUCAACAACGGAUCUCUUGGUUCUG
rnacentral:misc_RNA from 1 species